AUUAAUUAGUAAUAUAUAUGGUAUUAUGAUGAUUCAUAUGGUAAAUAUAAUUAUUUAUUUUAAUUAUUGGGCUAUCCAUAUAUAUGGUAUUAUUGUGAUUCAUAUGGGAGAUAUAUUUAUUUAUUUCAAUUAUUGAGUGAUUCAUAUGAUAUUAAUGGGUGAUAUAUAUGUAUUAUGAUGAUUCAUAUGGUAGAUACAAUUGUUUAUUUCGAUUAUUGGGUGAUUCAUAUGUCAUUAAUGAAAGGUAAUGGUGUAGUCAGUAUAGGAAACAAAAGUAAUAAUAUUUUAAAAAAAAGAUUAAAAGCAGAAAUGAAAUAUAAUUAAAAUUAAAUCUAGAAAAAGUAGAUUAAAAUUAAAGACGAAAAAAAAAGAAAAAAGAUAAAAAAAACACAUCUUUCAUAAUUAAAGAUGAAAAAGAGAAACGUUAUUAAAACACC
rnacentral:lncRNA from 1 species